rnacentral:tRNA from 1 species
GAAGAUAUAGCUCAAUGGUAGAAUGCAUGCCUAGCAUGCGUGAGGUCCUGGGAUCAAACCCUAGUACUGCCA